rnacentral:rRNA from 1 species
ACAUGCUUACAACAUAGUGUUAAUGCAUCGGAUUGCAUUUAAACUCCGCAGUUAAGUGCGCUCGAGCUAGAAUAGUACUAGGAUGGGUGAUCACCCAGGAAGUCCUAGUAUUUUACAUGCC